rnacentral:rRNA from 1 species
UAAGCAUAUCAAUAAGCGGAGGAAAAGAAACUAACAAGGAUUCCCCUAGUAACGGCGAGUGAAGCGGGAAGAGCUCAAAUUUGUAAUCUGGCACUUUCAGUGUCCGAGUUGUAAUCUCGAGAAGUAUUUUCCGCGCCGGACCGCAUACAAGUCUGUUGGAAUACAGCGUCAUAGUGGUGAGAACCCCGUAACUGAUGCGGAUGCCCGGUGCUUUGUGAUAUACUUUCGAAGAGUCGAGUUGUUUGGGAAUGCAGCUCAAAUUGGGUGGUAAAUUCCAUCUAAAGCUAAAUAUUGGAGCAAGACCGAUAGCGAACAAGUACCGUGAGGGAAAGAUGAAAAGCACUUUGGAAAGAGAGUUAACAGUACGUGAAAUUGUUGGAAGGGAAACGCUUGAAGUCAGACUUGCUAUUCGGAGUUCAGCCGCAAGGUGUAUUCUUCGAUUUGCAGGCCAGCAUCAGUUUUUGGGGGUGGAAAAUCGUGGUUUGAAGGUAGCAGUUUCGGCUGUGUUAUAGCUUUCCACUGGAUUCAUCUUCGGGGACUGAGGAACGCAGUACGCUUUUUGCAAGGCUCUCGAGCUUUUCGUACUUAGGAUGCUGGUGGAAUGGCUUUAAACGACCCGUC